GACGAACGCUGGCGGCGUGCUUAACACAUGCAAGUCGAACGGUAAGGCCCUUCGGGGUACACGAGUGGCGAACGGGUGAGUAACACGUGGGUGAUCUGCCCUGCACUCCGGGAUAAGCCUGGGAAACUGGGUCUAAUACCGGAUAGGACCACUGCCUGCAUGGGUGGUGGUGGAAAGCUUUUGCGGUGUGGGAUGGGCCCGCGGCCUAUCAGCUUGUUGGUGGGGUGAUGGCCUACCAAGGCGACGACGGGUAGCCGGCCUGAGAGGGUAACCGGCCACACGGGGACGGAGAUACGGCCCAGACUCCUACGGGAGGCAGCAGUGGGGAAUAUUGCACAAUGGGCGCAAGCCUGAUGCAGCGACGCCGCGUGAGGGAUGACGGCCUUCGGGUUGUAAACCUCUUUCAGCACCGGCGAAGCGCAAGUGACGGUAGGUGCAGAAGAAGGACCGGCCAACUACGUGCCAGCCGCCGCCGUAA
rnacentral:rRNA from 1 species